UUUCCGAAUGGGGAAACCCAGUGUGUUUCGACACACUAUCAUUAACUGAAUCCAUAGGUUAAUGAGGCGAACCGGGGGAACUGAAACAUCUAAGUACCCCGAGGAAAAGAAAUCAACCGAGAUUCCCCCAGUAGCGGCGAGCGAACGGGGAGCAGCCCAGAGCCUGAAUCAGUGUGUGUGUUAGUGGAAGCGUCUGGAAAGGCGCGCGAUACAGGGUGACAGCCCCGUACACAAAAAUGCACAUGCUGUGAGCUCGAUGAGUAGGGCGGGACACGUGGUAUCCUGUCUGAAUAUGGGGGGACCAUCCUCCAAGGCUAAAUACUCCUGACUGACCGAUAGUGAACCAGUACCGUGAGGGAAAGGCGAAAAGAACCCCGGCGAGGGGAGUGAAAAAGAACCUGAAACCGUGUACGUACAAGCAGUGGGAGCACGCUUAGGCGUGUGACUGCGUACCUUUUGUAUAAUGGGUCAGCGACUUAUAUUCUGUAGCAAGGUUAACCGAAUAGGGGAGCCGAAGGGAAACCGAGUCUUAACUGGGCGUUAAGUUGCAGGGCAUAGACCCGAAACCCGGUGAUCUAGCCAUGGGCAGGUUGAAGGUUGGGUAACACUAACUGGAGGACCGAACCGACUAAUGUUGAAAAAUUAGCGGAUGACUUGUGGCUGGGGGUGAAAGGCCAAUCAAACCGGGAGAUAGCUGGUUCUCCCCGAAAGCUAUUUAGGUAGCGCCUCGUGAAUUCAUCUCCGGGGGUAGAGCACUGUUUCGGCAAGGGGGUCAUCCCGACUUACCAACCCGAUGCAAACUGCGAAUACCGGAGAAUGUUAGCACGGGAGACACACGGCGGGUGCUAACGUCCGUCGUGAAGAGGGAAACAACCCAGACCGCCAGCUAAGGUCCCAAAGUCAUGGU
rnacentral:rRNA from 1 species